ensembl:lncRNA
CCCCGGACCGUACUUUCCCUAACCUGCAGAACGAUACCCCCUCCCUUUAUCAGCAUUUUGGAUCAGGUCUGAGUGGCCGCGGUUAAAGUCUUGCCCAAAGCUUGAUUAGAGGCGGAACCCAUCAAAAGGGCUUCAGUUUGGCGGCGUCCUGGCUCCAGAAAGCGCGAAUUUGGAUGCUGGCAGGUAAACGAAGACGCAUCUGCAGUGGAGUUCGGGCGGAGAGGGUAAUGACCCGACAAAUGAAAGCUUUAAGGCACAACCUUGGCUAAGGUAUUUUAGAAGGCGAGCCAGCGUCCACGCCUGACCUACCUUUGCCUCUGAAUCCCGCGCUUUCCCGAAGGUCCCCAUGGGCCAGCGGUUGUCAGGGUAACAAACUUCGGCAGCUGAGCUCCAGAGUCACAGGACCCGGGAUGGUCACGUGGCUAACGGGUACAACGGGGCAGCUAUUGGUUUCCUUGGUCCAUUAGAAGCGAAGAUUGGAACCACCACCCUCAGGAAGAUACCGUGGUCGUCAAGGCGUAGCUGCUUCGCCAGUUUGCGCUCCUUGGGUUUCUCUUUGUUGCUGAAAAAAGUGUGUGGCCGCGAACCGAGUCCUGAAGCGUCGCAACGCAGGCGUAACGUGAAGCCCAGCCCGUGGCUUCCUGGGAGUUGUAGUUUAGCUUCCUCAGGACUCGAACUGUAUUUCCGCCCUUCCUCUCUCCUCCUACCAGUUUUACAACAGCCUUUAUUUUUAAACGCUGUGUCUCCCAAGCGGAAGUUUUCAAGAAUUUUAUUGGAUUUUCUUCACGUACAAAGCCCUGUAUCUGUGGAGCUGCUGUGAGAGGAAGGGCUAAAUGGAGGGCCCUGAAAAUGCCCCACCACCAUUCUAGUGAGUGGUGUUUUUGUGGUAGGUGAUGACAUUGAAUGGACAGUUACAGCAACUAUCACCUGAGAAGAGCAAAGCAAACCUAGAGAAAGAAGGUCUGGGUCACUACAGCAGUGUAUCUAUGGAAAAUCCAGAAGGUUUGACCUUCCAGAGUCAACAGUGUGGAUUUUGCUGACUCCCUACUUAUGAAAGAAAUCUUGUCAUUUAUGGCAACAUGGACGAACUUGGGAGACAUUUAUGUUAAGUGAAAUAAAGCAGGCACGUGAAGCAAAUACUGCAUGAGCUCAUUUACACGUGGAAUCCAAAAGUGUUGAAUUCAUUGAAGCAAAGACUAGAAUGGCAGUUACUAGAGUCUGUGUGAUUUCCUGGGGAGUACAGCACCGAGGUAAUCACCACCGAGGAAAGCGAAAGCAAAAGACGGAGUCAUGGGUUUCAGCCAUAGUCUCGGUUUCACUGGAGCUGUGUCAAGCAGCGAGAUUGUGACCGUGGCCUGUGCCAGCAAGAGAGCCGGAAAGCAGAGGAAAACACUGAACUGCAUUGCUCUAAUAAAACUGUUUUGGAUAAGAGGUCCUGAUGAAAUCCACAUGGCUUGCAUUCAAUUGAAAUGAUGUUGAUUGACAAGGGAAAGGACUUUAAUAACUGCCAAGAGGAGACCCUCCAGGACAUAACCAUGACCAGGCCUGAUUUGCAGGAUGUGCCCCUGGAGGACCCUGAGGAGACAUUCUUCAUGGAUGAGAGCAGCUUCGUCAAAAAAUGAGUCAGGUAAUCCAACAGGAACUACAAAAUCGAGUUCAGGAGGCCAGGCCAGCCCCUCAACCUGAUGUCACCCACCAUAAAUUUCAGCCUGGAGAUCUGGUGCUGAUAAAGAGACAUUCCUCUAAGGCUCUGGAGCCACAUUGGGAGGGACCUUUCCAGGUGAUUUUAAUGACGCCAUCCACUAUAAAGAUCACAGAAAAAACACCCUGGAUACAUCACUGCCACAUCAAAGCGGCUCCUGAGG